rnacentral:lncRNA from 1 species
CGUAUUUAAGAUCAGUCACUGUAUUUUGGACAACUGUACUUCCUCAUGUCCUCCAGAUUACCUACAGUAAAGGUCAUAGGAACGAUUAGGAGCAUAAUAUGUAGAAGUUGCACUAGUGAUCAGCUUAGAAAAGCUUAUAAAUUUGUCAACUUGAGUCUGUUCAGUUAAAGGUCCACAGCUAAGAAGACCCUUACUGAACUAUGUUGGCAAAACAUCACAUAAGAAUUAUGGUUAGAAACCUGAGCAACUUCCAGUAGCCUUGAUAGCACAUACUAUUCAUCAAUGUGUUCAUCGAACCAGAAAAUUCAGUAGCAUUUCUUGGGCACAUGUUUGGUCUGUUCCCUUCGGUUAGCCGGGCCAUAUCCGUCUUUACUGAACACAGCUCAGGCCAUAUGGGGUAACUUUAUUCCGAUCCAGUCAACAUGGAAGUCAUGCAUGUAAGCACCGGAUCGGUGGACCCUGGUCGUUUUUCAUGCAUUCAGUGUGCAUCCUGACACUACUCCCACACAUACGCAUGCUGUCUUCUUAGCAGUAAACAUGACUGAAUGUCUGAAUCUGAAUCUGAAUGCACCGAGAGAAGAACACAAGAGGCCAUCACCAACUAGGACCUGACCUGCAGUAACAUUUACCUACUGCAGCAUUGUACUUGCUUUGCAUCAUACAUUCCUACCAUACGUACAAAGUAUUUGGUACCAAAAUUAAAAAGAAAGAACAGCUGAUGUGUAUCGUAACGGCUUUGCCCUGUGGUGCAUUUGCAAAUUGGCAGGCAGUGAUGGUGUGCGUGGUGGACACAUACCUGAAGCUGGGGCCGUCGCUGCUGCCGUAUCUGGAGGGCCUGGACAGCGCGCAGCUGCAGCUCGUAACCACCUACGCCAGCCGGCUGUCCCAGCCAAGAUUCAUUGCAGCGGACGGCUGAUGCAGUGGAGUGGAGGAUGUCUCGCGGCA